rnacentral:rRNA from 1 species
UUGGAGGGCAAGUCUGGUGCCAGCAGCCGCGGUAAUUCCAGCUCCAAUAGCGUAUAUUAAAGUUGUUGCAGUUAAAAAGCUCGUAGUUGAAUUUCGGGGUUUAUCCGUUGGUCGGGCUUUUUGGUCUGUACUGGCGUGAUGGAUUCCUACCUUCUGAAUAACCAGCAUGUCAUUAAUUUGGUGCGUUGGGGAAGCAGGACUGUUACCUUGAAAAAAUUAGAGUGCUUAAAGCAGGCUAUUGCCUGAAUACAUUAGCAUGGAAUAAUGAAAUAGGACGCAUGGUUCUAUUUUGUUGGUUUCUAGGAUCACCGUAAUGAUUAAUAGGGAUAGUUGGGGGCAUUAGUAUUCAAUUGUCAGAGGUGAAAUUCUUGGAUUUAUUGAAGACUAACUUCUGCGAAAGCAUUUGCCAAGGAUGUUUUCAUUAAUCAAGAACGAAAGUUAGGGGAUCGAAGACGAUCAGAUACCGUCGUAGUCUUAACCAUAAACUAUGCCGACUAGGGAUCGGACGAUGUUAAUUUUUUAAUGACUCAUUCGGCGCCUUACGGGAAAC